GUUGGCUAUAACUCACAGAAGGUGGGGCUCAGGCAGCUAUAAAGCCUGCUAUAUGGCAGAGGGAGCUUCUUCUGCAGGCUGGUAGAGAUGGGUGUUGGUUCUUCUCAACAGGAACAUAUUUUCCUGGGGUUCCUGCUGUGCUCCUGAUGCCCACAUUACCUGGGUGGUGAACAUACCAGAGGAAAAGGCACUGCAGAUGCUCUCAGGAAACAGAGUAAUCCAAAGCAGCAAUGAUUCCAGCUGAGGCACCCCUCGUAACCAUCAGCCAGGAACAGAAGCCGUCAUCUCUUCCCAGAGUACCUGGGGUAUCAAAGCUGUGCCACUCCGGGUGCGUGCUCCUUGCUGAAGGACCUGUGAAACUGUGCUCAAGGAGGAGCUGGGCUGGUGGUGAGUGGGUUGAGAGGAAGAUCAGGCUGACUGUCUACCAAGCUUUCAAGCCAAGAAAUCACUGUCAUCUGAUGCCCGUAAAUACCAGAUUUCUGGACACACUUAGUCUCCAAGUAAUAACCUGAAUUAAGUUCAAAACUUCCUUGGAAAUCCAAUUCAGGCAAUUUUUACUCAGAGCAACAUUGCAAAGGCUACGUCAGCUGACCUGAAAAAUCUCUCUUCCACAAUGAUUAAACGCAUCCCAGAUUGCAUAUAUUUAGCUUUUGCUGCAAGAGACAAAGCGUCUUGUUCAGAACAAGUGCAAAUCAUGUAUGGAAGGCACUCCAGCACAAAGUGAGGGUCAUCUCACUUCUACAGUACAAAGGAGAAGAAUAUUACGAAAUUUAGAGAUAUUCAAUUACUACUGGUGGAAGGCCAUGGAAGUUCAUAGAGAGCUCAGGAGGGCAAUAUGGUAUAGAAUAAGAAAUUAAGUUAGGUAUCAGCUGCAUAGAAAUGAAAAUGAACUGGACAUUCAUGUUACA